rnacentral:rRNA from 1 species
GGUCAAGUGACUAAGAGCAUGUGGUGGAUGCCUUGGCGAUUACAGGCGACGAAAGACGUGAUAGCCUGCGAUAAGCUUCGGGGAGCUGGCAAAUAAGCUUUGAUCCGGAGAUUUCUGAAUGGGGAAACCCACCUCGCAAGAGGUAUCGCAUGAUGAAUACAUAGUCAUGCGAGGCGAACCGGGUGAACUGAAACAUCUCAGUAGCUCGAGGAAAAGACAUCAACCGAGAUUCCGAAAGUAGUGGCGAGCGAAAUCGGA